CCAGCGCAGAUUUGUGUUUUUUUAUUUUUUAUAAUUUUUUUUAUCUUUGUUAUUAAGUAAUGUUAUCAGAUAAUUUUUUAUUAAGAUGAAAAGAUUUGAAGUCAUUUGUGUUUUUUCAUAAAUUUAAACAGAACAGCAUUGCAUCGAUCCCGUUGAAGUUUUCCGAUUUCGAAUUUAAGGUGGACCCGGGCCGAACCGCACACCGUGCCCACUCUAACUGUCACAGCUCAGUGAAAGGUAAGGAGAAAAAUGGCGGAAAAGGAGGAAGCGAAUGGGCCAAGAGGUCUGCUGUAGAAAGGGAGCGGACGAUAACCUCUUUCCUUUGGAUCGGAGCUUGCUGUCGAGAGGCACAACUUCUCCUUCGUUCAGAUCCUCGGCUUCCUCGACUUCCAAUCUCGCUCUCUGCUCGACCACGCCUUCAUCCGCCGCGACACCGUCGCCAAAUUCCACCCCGCCCGCUGCCCGCCGCGCAACAUUCCUCUUUCCGAUCGAUUAGAUUUUGAUUGAUUCCUUGACAAUGUACUGGUGUGAUCAUGCUAUUUAGCACGUCGGUGCUCCAUGAAUAUAGAUGUUUGUGAAAAAAUUGAAGCGAUCAUGUUACUCAUCAAUCUUCAUUUGGUUCUGUAUUUGUCAUCCUGGUUGGAUACAUCGAUUAUUCUGUGAUUGUAUCUAUUUGUGCAUUGUUUGGUUUUAUCUAGAGAUAAGGUUUUUUUAGCUGGAAGUCAGAAGAACAAUUCAUAAUUUUAUAUUUCAAUUUGGGAUUUCCGAUUUGUUCCGAAAUUUCAAAAA